rnacentral:lncRNA from 1 species
GUGCUUGGUUUUCCAUUCUUGUGUCAGUUUGCUGAGAAUGAGGGUUUGCAGAUUCACCCAUGUCCCAACAAAGGACAUGAACUCAUCCUUUUUAUGGCUGCAUAGUAUUCUAUGGUAUAUAUGUGCCACAUUUUCCCUGUCCAGUCUAUCAUUAUUAUCAUUAUUAUUAUUAUUAUUAUUAUUAAUUUGCCAAGGUUAUCACUGGCUGGGCUUCAGCCACAAAAUCAUCCCUAAUUGAGGACACCUCAUGUCCACCAAUGAAGCCACCACCACCAUCAAGUGAUGAAUGACCCCUUGCCAGCAAUGUCUCCACUCUCCCUGCUCCCACUUUCCCCAGGCAACGGCCCAUCUGUUUCCCAUCAUUGUGGAUUCAGCUUACGUUUUCUAGGCUUUUACAGAGCUAGAAUCGCACAGCAGGUACCUCUGGGCGGGUCUGGGCUUCACUAAGCCGCGUGAUUUCGAGGCUGCCUCGGACUGUGUGAGUGUCCGCAAGGAUGACUGUGGGGCUCCGCGUUGCCUCCCGCUGCGUGGACGUUCCGUGCUUGGGUUCGCCUCCGCUGUUUCCGGUUUGUUCCCAGCUGUUUCCGGUUUGUUCCCAGCUGUUUCCGGUUUGGUCCCGCCUGUUUCCGGUUUGGGGCUGUGACAGGCAAAGCUGUUACAGCCAUGCUGAGACCUUCUGCGGACACGAGCUUCCAUUCCUCCCGGUGGAGUCUCACUUUGUCACCCAGGAUGGAGUACAUCAGCACGAUCUCCACUCACUGCAACCUCCACCUGCAGGGUUCAAGCAAUUCUCCUCCUCAGCCUCCAGAGUAGCUAGGACUGCAGGUGCGGGCCACCAUGCCAGGCUAAUUUUUUUUUUUUUAAUUUUUAGUAGAGACGGGGUUUUACCAUGCUGGCCAGACUGGUCUCGAACUCCUGACCUCAUGAUCUGCCCACCUUGGCCUCCCAAAGUGCUGGGAUUACAGGCAUGAGCCACCGGACCCAGCCGGGAAACGUUCUCUUUCACAUCAAUUUUCACAGGGCUGCUUCCUAUGUGGAUUGCUGCAGUGUCAAAUUCUAUUUAACUCUUUCCUCUUGACUGUACCCACGAAUAACACAUUUGCAUCAUAGAAAUGAACCCACAGUAAACUUCCAGAAAACCUACUAUGCUAAUUUAUUUGCUCUCCAUUCACAUGACUUCAGAUCUUCACUGCCAGUUCUGCUCACUUGGAAGAAUUCUGAAUCUGCAGGGUGGGUCUGGGAGUGCUGGAGAACUGACCCAGAAUCUUGAAG